rnacentral:rRNA from 1 species
UACGUAGGGGGCCAGCGUUGCUCGGAAUUACUGGGUGUAAAGGGUUCGUAGGCGGUGUGGCAAGUCGGGAGUGAAAUCUCUGAGCUUAACUCAGGGCCUGCUUCCGAAACUGCUGUGCUAGAGUGUGGGAGAGGCGCGUGGAAUUGCAGGUGUAGCGGUGAAAUGCGUAGAUAUCUGCAGGAACACCCGUGGCGAAAGCGGCGCGCUGGACCACUACUGACGCUGAGGAACGAAAGCUAGGGGAGCAAACAGG